UAGGGAAUCUUCCACAAUGGGCGAAAGCCUGAUGGAGCAACGCCGCGUGUGUGAUGAAGGGUUUCGGCUCGUAAAACACUGCUGUAAGAGAAGAAUGACAUUGAGAGUAACUGUUCAAUGUGUGACGGUAUCUUACCAGAAAGGAACGGCUAAAUACGUGCCGG
rnacentral:rRNA from 1 species